rnacentral:tRNA from 1 species
GACAAUAUGCCUGAUAAAAGGGGUUUCUUGAUAGGAAAUUUAAUGAAAUACAUUCUGUUGUUU